rnacentral:tRNA from 1 species
GGGCUCGUAACUCAGUUUGGCCAGAGUGGCUGGCUUUUAACCAGUAAGUCGGGGGUUCAAAUCCCCCCGAGCCCG